rnacentral:rRNA from 1 species
UACGGGGGGGGCAAGCGUUGUUCGGAAUUACUGGGCGUAAAGGGCGCGUAGGCGGCAAUUCAAGUCAGCUGUGAAAUCUCUGGGCUUAACCCAGAACGGCCAGCUGAUACUGCUUUGCUAGAGUGCAGAAGGGGCAAUCGGAAUUCUUGGUGUAGCGGUGAAAUGCGUAGAUAUCAAGAGGAACACCUGAGGUGAAGACGGGUUGCUGGGCUGACACUGACGCUGAGGCGCGAAAGCCAGGGGAGCAAACGGG